rnacentral:lncRNA from 1 species
AUUGAAUCUAUGUUGAGUUAAUGGCAUAUCCCUUCCACCGACCUCACUUAUCUGGCCAACAUGGUGAAUUAUGUUUUGAUUAGAUCACUUAAUGAUUGGGGUUGACCUAUGCUAACUAGAAAAUCAGUAUGACUGAUUUAAGUACCCCUAGUUCAACUUGUCUUGAGUCCUUUUUAUGACUUGAUAAAGUCAGUGAGAGGAUACACACA